UACACUCCUACGGGAGGCAGCAGUGGGGAAUAUUGGACAAUGGGCGCAAGCCUGAUCCAGCCAUGCCGCGUGAGUGAUGAAGGCCCUAGGGUUGUAAAGCUCUUUCACCGGUGAAGAUAAUGACGGUAACCGGAGAAGAAGCCCCGGCUAACUUCGUGCCAGCAGCCGCGGUAAUACGAAGGGGGCUAGCGUUGUUCGGUUUUACUGGGCGUAAAGCGCACGUAGGCGGACUAUUAAGUCAGGGGUGAAAUCCCGGGGCUCAACCCCGGAACUGCCUUGGAUACUGGUAGUCUUGAGUUCGAGAGAGGUGAGUGGAAUUCCGAGUGUAGAGGUGAAAUUCGUAGAUAUUCGGAGGAACACCAGUGGCGAAGGCGGCUCACUGGCUCGAUACUGACGCUGAGGUGCGAAAGCGUGGGGAGCAAACAGGAUUAGAAACCCUAGUAGUCCCAUG
rnacentral:rRNA from 1 species